GAAUGCCAUGCGAAGCCCUUGUCGCGCGCUCGCUGCUUUGCGUUUUUCUUCCUUGUGUCAUUCGGUCUGUCGAAUGCGCAUCGAUUCGCACUUCAUCGCCGACGAUUUCGCCUCGACGCGUGACCAAUGUGGCUUUGUUUGUGGGCCCGGAGUAAACACCAAGCCUUCGAGGCCGACAAGUGUGAUAUGCUCUACCUGAUGGUCCAUUUGUGUCACCUCUAGCAGUCCCUAUCGCUGGCCCUCAGGCUCCCGUUGUGCGCCGUUAUUACAUUGGUGAUAGGCCGCUUAAGUCAACAAUUAGUUUUGGAGCCACCUAGGGGCACUUCUCCCCGAUCAAGAGGACAGUAGUUGCUGAGCAUGUCACGCCCCAUUGCGGCAAAUAAUUGUUAUCUGAGCUCGUCUGAAACGUGUGUGAUUCGAGUCAACACGACGAUUUGUGAGAAGAAUAUCAUGUAUUAUGUGUGUGUAUAUGUAUUUAUGUUAUGGAGUGUGUGCGCGACCGUCGCCGCGGGGCAUCUCGAGCGACGGCGCCGACUUCGGUGCCAAAGGCUA